AACGCGUAGGUAUCUAUCCGUAGGUGGGGGAUAACGCUGGGAAACUGGUGCUAAUACCGCAUGAAACCUGAGGGUCAAAGGCGCGAGUCGCCGAUGGAGGAGCCUGCGUCCGAUUAGCUAGUUGGUGGGGUAAGAGCCUACCAAGGCGACGAUCGGUAGCUGGUCUGAGAGGAUGAUCAGCCACAUUGGGACUGAGACACGGCCCAAACUCCUACGGGAGGCAGCAGUGGGGAAUAUUGGACAAUGGGCGGAAGCCUGAUCCAGCAAUGCCGCGUGUGUGAAGAAGGUUUUCGGAUUGUAAAGCACUUUCGGCGGGGACGAUGAUGACGGUACCCGCAGAAGAAGCCCCGGCUAACUUCGUGCCAGCAGCCGCGGUAAUACGAAGGGGGCUAGCGUUGCUCGGAAUGACUGGGCGUAAAGGGCGCGUAGGCGGCUUGUACAGUCGGGCGUGAAAUUCCUGGGCUUAACCUGGGGGCUGCGCUUGAUACAUACGGGCUUGAGUGUGGAAGAGGGUCGUGGAAUUCCCAGUGUAGAGGUGAAAUUCGUAGAUAUUGGGAAGAGCACCGGUGGCGAAGGCGGCGACCUGGUUCAUUACUGACGCUGAGGCGCGAAAGCGUGGGGAGCAAACAGGAUUAGAUACCCUGGUAGUCCACGCUGUAAACGAUGUGUGCUGGAUGUUGGGUGGCCUAGCCAUUCAGUGUCGUAGCUAACGCGGUAAGCACACCGCCUGGGGAGUACGGCCGCAAGGUUGAA
rnacentral:rRNA from 1 species